rnacentral:rRNA from 1 species
GAGCGAUCAAGUGCCUUAAGAGCAUCUGGUGGAUGCCUUGGCGCUGAGAGGCGAUGAAGGACGUGGUACGCUGCGAUAAGCCUUGGGGAGCUGCGAACGAGCUUUGAUCCGAGGAUCGAACGAGCUUUGAUCCGAGGAUCUCCGAAUGGGGAAACCCACCUUCAGCCACCGUAUCGUGGAUCCAGUUCACUGGGUCUGCGCUACGAUGGUUUACGAAGGUAUCAAGCCCUGAAUUCAUAGGGGUUUGAAGCGAACCCGGGGAACUGAAACAUCUCAGUACCCGGAGGAAAGGACAUCAACGAGACUCCGUCAGUAGUGGCGAGCGAACGCGGACCAGGCCAGCGCCUGGCAUGACGCUUACCGGAACGGCCUGGAAUGGCCGGCAGGAUGGGUGACAGCCCCGUACGGGACAAGCCAAUGCCAGGACACGAGUAAGGCGGGACACGUGAAAUCCUGUCUGAAGAUGGGGGGACCACCCUCCAAGCCUAAGUACUCCUCAGCGACCGAUAGCGAACCAGUACCGUGA